GGAUUCCCUCAGUAAUGGCGAAUGAACAGGGAUGAGCUCAGCAUUGAAAUCUGGGCCCUCGGCCCUGAAUUGUAAUCUCGAGAUGUGCAACCAACGGAGGCGCAGAUGUAAGCCUCUUGGAAAAGAGCACCAGCGAGGGUGAGAGUCCCGUUCGUCAUUUGCAGUCCCCCGUGUACGGUGUACUUUCUAAGAGUCACGUUCCUCGGGCUUGGAGCGCCAAAGGUGGUAAAUUUCAUCUAAAGCUAAAUAUAGGUUUGAGACCGAUAGCAAACAAGUACCAUGAGGGAAAGAUGAAAAGGACUUUGGAAAGAGAGUUAAAAGUGCCUGAAAUUGCUGAAAGGGAAGCGAAUGGAACCAGUGUUUCUUGGCGAGAUUGUUACACGCUAAAUUGAUGGUCGGUUGCUUCAACGCAAGUGNUGCAGCUGGCUCUGAAAUGGACGUGUGUGGUGCUUCUUGCCUUGCCUGUCAACGUCAAUUUGGAGUUGAGGAAAACUCAAGGGACAUGGUAGUUUGCCCACGGGUGACCGAACGUGCCUUGUAGAACUCAUCUUUGGAUUGAAGACCUCGUGUCCGGUUGCAACGCCCUCCUCUCGGGCUCUCAGCCUUGGGAAACUCAGCUUGGCAGCGGCCCUCCUUGUGGGGGAGCGUUCCUUGACACGAAGAUGGUGACAAAAUGGUUUCACUCGACCCGUCUUG
rnacentral:rRNA from 1 species